UCAAAACCUAAAUCUGUAUCUGCUGAUAUUAUGACAGCUUAUGAUAGUUGUUGAGUUUGGAGGCAACAACAACAACAAAGAGGAGUUAAUGCUGCAGGGAAACCUCAACUUCUGCUGCUCACUCACAGCAGUGGGGUUCUUCACUUUGAAAUUUAAUUAUCAGAGAUACUNACACUCCUUGUUGACAGACAUGUGCUCAGAACUCA
rnacentral:lncRNA from 12 species